rnacentral:lncRNA from 1 species
AUCAAAUUAAUGCAUCCUUGCUUAAUAAAAAGUAUCAAUUUCUUAAUUAAUUUGUAAACAGUAGUCAUUAAAAAUUCAACUAAAAAUUAUUGUAAAAAAUAGAAAUAUUUUGUUGCAUUAUAAAAGUCUUUACUGUCACUUUCGAUCAAAUUAAUGCAUCCUUGCUUAAUAAAAGUAUCAAUUUCUUAAUUAAUUUGAACAGUAGUCAUUAAAAUUCAACUAAAAUUAUUGAUUUGACUUUUUUUUUUUUUUUUUUUUUGGGUCUUCCUUGGACAAAUUUGUGCCCAUGUCAGGAUUUCAAAGGUAUAUAUCUUUUUCAAAGGUAUAUAUAAUACAUUUCCUUGUAAUUUUCAGUUACUGUAUAUAGUUGUACUAGACAACUAGACCGUGUAUUGUUUUUUUUUUUUUUUUUUUGGGCUUCCUUGGACAAAUUUGUGCCCAUGUCAGGAUUUCAAAGGUAUAUAUCUUUUUCAAAGGUAUAUAUAAUACAUUUCCUUGUAAUUUUCAGUUACUGUAUAUAGUUGUACUAGACAACUAGACGUUGUACUAAAUUGUACUAAAUUGUGCUAAAUAAAAACAAGUGGUUCUCACCUGUGCAAAACUCACCACUAGGGCGUUGCUGUUCAGUUUCUAUAGAGUUGUAGAUGUCGAAUUUCCUGUAAAAAGAAAUGCAUAACAUUAUGGAAAUAAUGGGUUAUGCCAUUUUGUGUUGAUGAAGGUAAAUAUUUGAAUAGUUUUUUUAAAAGCCAUGUCACAUGCACAUGAGAAAACAAUAUACAGAUAACAUCGGUCAUAAAAAGCUUUGAUAACUUAGAAAUCGUUAUGUUCUUACUGUAUAGUAGGGCAGCCCAUAGCCAAGGACACUUUGCUAUGGCAAAAGACAAAUGGAGAGACAACUGUCCCUGAAGUCAGAACAGGUGCUGCGGGACAGGCCAGAGUCCGGCAGGACAACUGUACUAUUCCUGUCCGGAACAGAGCCGGCUGAUUGCGGAUCCACAGAGACUAAUGACAGAUGGACAGGUGGGGAAGCCCUCGAACGGCCCGGAGAUUUAUUCACUACGAUGAGCAAUUUCCACACAAACAGACUCGUGGAAAAACAGCGCGAAUCAUGCAGCUGCAACACCCCGCGCCUAUUAACAUGACUUUGACCUCACACAUCCGGGUCAGUGCAUCCGAGCAGGGGGAAUAAAGGCAGAGCUGGUCCCAGUAUUGUGAGUUCCCAAUUACCCCUUGAGUGAGAUCCACAGAGCAGAAUGACUGCAGGUGAGAAGUUCCUAUUAACAUGACUUGUACCUCACACAUCCGGGUCAGUGCAUCCGAGCAGGGGAAUAAAGGCAGAGCUGGUCCCAGAAUGUGAGUUCCCAAUUACCCUUGAGUGAGAUCCACAGAGCAGAAUGCUGCAGGUGAGAAGUUGGAUGGGGCUUCUGUGAUGGGCUGGCAGAGACACAAUCAACCUCUGUGGCACCGGCUUGGAAUCGCUGUGUGUCUGCGAUGAAAAAUGCUGAGGGCACAAGACAAAACAGUACACAGACUAAUGAAUUCAAUGCAUGUGUAAUUUAUUACAAGCAGACGGGCCCCUCGUUUCUUUCUGGUGUGGCAAAUUAAAUCAAAUUAAAUAAAAUCAAGAUGGAGUGAUUGAGAUGUCAUGUAAGGUCAUUAUACUUUGACCCACAAAAAGUUCACAAGAUACUAUUAUAUAUACAUAAUAGUAUCAUAAAUGUACUUUAUUUGGUCAUUUGACGUCAUUCAUGUCAUUUCAAACACAUAUGCAAUUAAUUUUUUCACUUGGAAGAGGAAAGGAGACAUCUUAAAAGAAUAUUUAUGACUGUUCAUGGUGAC